UUCUAGAAAAAUUUUGCAAUGCACUUUUCAAAUUUAUUAGGAUAUGAAAUCUCCUGGAACAGAAAAAUUCCAAAUAUACCUACUACCUAGGAAAUACCAUCCUUGCUUAUGCACCCCCUUCCCCUCUGCCUGGGUUACAGGGAACGUGAGGACAUCCUUUCACAAUGUUUUGCCGAAGCCCAGGCUGUCUUUUCCCUUCUCUGCUCUUCAAAGGGCUGCCUUUGCCUCUCGCACAUUCCUCUCCUCCAAGAGGACUGUGAACAUCUGUUCAGCAUCUUUCAGACUGGAGCCUGCUCACGCGCGCGGCUCUCUGGGGCACUGGAACAUUGACCCGCAGCCUUUUCUUGUCCCAACUUGGUCUCAACUAUUUUUAGCCUCGUUGAUUUUCGUUUUCAACAUUUCAGUCAUUUUCCAUGCCUGCUUAUUCUCCUAUUCCUCCAUGUUGUGUAAUAUUCCUUUGAUGACCAUUUUCCAAGGAACUCAAAGAACUCGAUGAUUCAGCCUUCCUCCCACACGCCUCUCGAGGCAAGAGGCUCUCCUCCCUACUUCUCCGAGGUGCCGGAUUGUUUGGCUCCGGUGCAGUUCUGUUUUUCCAGCUGUCAAGCAGCAGCUGACCAGGUUUGUUUUUCUUCACACUGAAAAUCGACACGCAGCAAAGUGUGUUAAUGCAUAGUAGGCGGGAAGCAAGGUCUAAAAGAAAUAAGUCAAAAUGGAACCUCAGAACUCAACGUGGCUAUGAACAUAGAGAGAGACAAGCUCAACAAUUUUAUUAUGUGCCAGAUGCCAGGCUAGUUGCUGGGAAUAACGGUGGAGAAACCCCAGUCCCUGGCCUUCAGAAGGAGGAGACAAAUGAAUUAGCAUUUAUUCGUGCUCUGAGAGAGCACAGAGGCAACGCACUACCCUGGGACAGGAGGUGGGCAGGGCUUCUUAGACGUGGCACCCGAGUGCGGAAGGUUACUAGGAUUUAGCCAGAAGAAAAACAAGGGGAAUGAAAUACCAGGUAGAGGGAACAUUGUGUCUGAUAUUUUGGAAGCAAAGGAGAAAGACAGCAAUUCUUAGAAAUGCAAGUAGCUUAACGCAGGUGUGGAAGGUUGGGGAGGAGCAGUGAAAAGGAAAGUUGAGAGACCAGGCCAUGUUAAGGAAUGGACUUUAUCCUGCAGUGGGGGAAGCCACAUUUUAAGUAGGAAGAUAAUAGAGGCUGCACUGGAGUAAAAUUACAAGACAAGAGGCCAGUCACAGGAGGCUGGUGCAGUGAUCUGAACCGAAAGAGGGGAAGGCCUGAACAAAGGUGAAGCCUUGAGGGAUGUAGAGAAGUAAGAGAUAUUGAAGAGGUUGAUGUGUGGGGCCUCUGAAUCAUCCAGGCCCGGACAUCCAGGUGGCUCAGAAUCCAGUAGAGAAAUCCCAACUAAAGAGAUAUGUGGAGAAAUAAUCAGCAGAUAGAUACCUUUGAACACUUCAAGGAGUAGCUAAGAUUACUCAGUUAUUAUAUCAUUAAAUCCCCUUAACUCUGUGAAGUGGGUUAAAAGAAAAGACCCACAGGCGUAUAAUAAUUGGAUGACAGAUCCAGGCUUGUCUGACUUCAAAUCUUUGCCUUUUUCUCGUCUCCAUGCUGCUUUCCAGGGGGUAUAUUGAGUGCUUGGAAGAAGUGUUCGUUUCUGUGCUCAUGGCUUGGGUGCGUUCACUCCAGCCCAACACUGCUGUAGUUUAUGGAAACACAAAUAUUAAUAAAGCAUGUCUGCCGCAUUCAAAGCAGGGUAAGAGAGAGGGGAAGUCAACAGUCAUUUUCAUAUAAUAUGGUAAGGGCAGUGAUGGAGGUGUGUCUGAGGUGUAUUUGGUACAACUUGUAAGAAUCAGGAAGAACCUCUGGCCCCAAAAGUACAGAUAAAAUGCCGAUGUCAAUCAUGUCAACCUCCAAUCAAGUCUAUUCAUCAGACUGAGUGGAGUUGGAGAGUGGAGGCAGGGUGGAGAGGUGGAGCCUCUGUCUGAAAGGACUGGUUUGAAGGGGAGACUUGGCUUAGAAGAGACAAUGAAAGAGACCAAAAGAAGGAGGACACCUCCAGGAAGGAGCCAAGAGGACCUCCACAAUAAACAUCAGACCCACAGCCUAGGGCAUUCAGGUAGCCUCUGGGAAUUCCACUCUCCUCCCUCAGCCUUCCAUAAAAAAUGCUUUUUGGAGGCCAGAAAUGGUUUGAUCUGGGGUUUCCUAGCAAGUGUAGAUGGAUUAGCAAUUGUUAACUUGUUUGUAAGCAUUGUUAUCCCAGGGAUGGGCCUGAUUGUUCAUCAAGAUAUUCUCAGUACAUAGUCUGCAAAGUAGCAUCUCAAUAAAUGUUAACCUUUAUUGAAUCAAAGCUAAAUGUAAAUAAACAACUAGUUAUGCUCAAAGUAUUUCUUUUAGUUUUCUAAAAUAUAUAUCAUAUGUUGAAUAUUAUAACUGUUGUAGUCAAGUGGCUGAUAAAUGUGGACACAUCAUUAAAAUUUUUAAGAUAAUAUGGUUGAUAAAAGACAAAAUAAAUAAUGUUAUAACAGCCUUUGGUGUAGUUGGGGGAAAAAAAGCAGAAACCAAUGAAUGAACCAUGCUUGCUCCUGAAACACUGGAAGGGAGAAAUGAGAGGAUUACCUGGGGUGUCUUUUUAAACAUAUAAGUUCUUUCAUGCAUGCAUCCUCAUUUCUUAUAUGGAAAUGAACAAAGACCAUCUAAUUGAGAACAAAAGCAAAGUCUGAUUUUCUCAGGGCCUAAUAUAGCAAGGACAGAGUUCCCUGAUUGAAGGGCAAGUGUCCAAGGAGAAAAAAUAAAAAAUUCAAAAAAAACCACACACUUUGCUUAUCUUCCAGAGUAGAGGGCAAGGAGUGCGAUCUGUUCAGCUUCCUCAUCACUGCUUUGCCCACUCCCAUGCCAUCCUCCCUCUUUCCUUCUUUCCAGUGUAAGAUCCCAUUUCUUACAGGCCUCUAAUUACAGUCCCCAAGAACACAGAGAAAGAUCUGAUGUUAUUUUUUCUUCAUUUAUCAGUUCACUUUUUUUAUUUACUCAACACACUCUUAUUGACUACUGAUGUG